rnacentral:rRNA from 1 species
CCUACGGGGGGCUGCAGUGGGGAAUAUUGGACAAUGGGGGGAACCCUGAUCCAGCCAUGCCGCGUGUGUGAAGAAGGCCCUCGGGUUGUAAAGCACUUUCAGUGAGGAAGAACGCCUGGUGGUUAAUACCCAUCAGGAAAGACAUCACUCACAGAAGAAGCACCGGCUAACUCCGUGCCAGCAGCCGCGGUAAUACGGAGGGUGCGAGCGUUAAUCGGGAUUACUGGGCGUAAAGCGCGCGUAGGUGGCUUGAUAAGCCGGUUGUGAAAGCCCCGGGCUCAACCUGGGAACGGCAUCCGGAACUGUCAAGCUAGAGUGCAGGAGAGGAAGGUAGAAUUCCCGGUGUAGCGGUGAAAUGCGUAGAGAUCGGGAGGAAUACCAGUGGCGAAGGCGGCCUUCUGGACUGACACUGACACUGAGGUGCGAAAGCGUGGGUAGCAAACAGGAUUAGAUACCCUUGUAGUC